rnacentral:rRNA from 1 species
GAUGAACGCUGGCGGCGUGCCUAAUACAUGCAAGUCGAGCGAACGGACGAGAAGCUUGCUUUUCUGAUGUUAGCGGCGGACGGGUGAGUAACACGUGGAUAACCUACCUAUAAGACUGGGAUAACUUCGGGAAACCGGAGCUAAUACCGGAUAAUAUUUUGAACCGCAUGGUUCAAAAGUGAAAGACGGUGUUGCUGUCACUUAUAGAUGGAUCCCCGCUGCAUUGGCUAGUUGGUAAGGUAACGGCUUAUCAAGGCAACGAUGCAUAGACGACGGGAGAGGGUGAUCGCCCACACUGGAACUGAGACACGGUCCAGACUCCUACGGGAGGCAGCAGUAGGGAAUCUGCCGCAGUGGGCGAAAGCCUGACGGAGCGAGGCCGCGUGAGUGAUGAAGGUCUUCGGAUCGUAAAACUCUGUUAUUAGGGAAGAACAGAUGUGUAAGUAAAUGUGCACAUCUUGACGGUACCUAAUAAGAAAGCAACGGCUAACUACGUG